GACGAACGCUGGCGGCGUGCUUAACACAUGCAAGUCGAACGGAAAGGCCCUGCUUUUGUGGGGUGCUCGAGUGGCGAACGGGUGAGUAACACGUGAGUAACCUGCCCUUGACUUUGGGAUAACUUCAGGAAACUGGGGCUAAUACCGGAUAGGAGCUCCUGCUGCAUGGUGGGGGUUGGAAAGUUUCGGCGGUUGGGGAUGGACUCGCGGCUUUCAGCUUGUUGGUGGGGUAGUGGCUUACCAAGGCUUUGACGGGUAGCCGGCCUGAGGGGGUGACCGGCCACAUUGGGACUGAGAUACGGCCCAGACUCCUACGGGAGGCAGCAGUGGGGAAUAUUGCACAAUGGGCGGAAGCCUGAUGCAGCAACGCCGCGUGCGGGAUGACGGCCUUCGGGUUGUAAACCGCUUUCGCCUGUGACGAAGCGUGAGUGACGGUAAUGGGUAAAGAAGCACCGGCUAACUACGUG
rnacentral:rRNA from 1 species